rnacentral:rRNA from 1 species
UACGUAGGGGGCAAGCGUUGUCCGGAUUUAUUGGGCGUAAAGCGCUCGCAGGUGGUUCGAUGCGUCGUGCGUGAAAGACCCCGGCUCAACUGGGGAGGGUCGUGCGAUACGGUCGGACUGGAGGCCAGUAGGGGGAUGCGGAAUUCCGGGUGUAGUGGUGGAAUGCGUAGAGAUCCGGAGGAACACCAGUGGCGAAGGCGACUCACUGGACACAUAUUGACGCUGAGGUGCGAAAGCGUGGGGAGCAAACAGG